rnacentral:rRNA from 1 species
UACGUAGGCAGCGAGCGUUGUUCGGAGUUACUGGGCGUAAAGGGUGUGUAGGCGGUUUUCUAAGUUUGGUGUGAAAUCCCCCGGCUCAACCGGGAGGGUGCGCCGAAAACUGGGAGACUAGAGUGCGGGAUGGGAGAGUAGAAUUCCUGGUGUAGCGGUGAAAUGCGUAGAUAUCAGGAGGAAUACCGGUGGUGUAGACGGCUCUCUGGACCGCCACUGACGCUGAGACACGAAAGCGUGGGUAGCAAACAGG